CCUACGGGAGGCUGCAGUGGGGGAUAUUGCACAAUGGGGGGAACCCUGAUGCAGCGACGCCGCGUGGGUGAAGAAGCGCCUCGGCGCGUAAAGCCCUGUCAGCAGGGAAGAAAAUGACGGUACCUGAAGAAGAAGCCCCGGCUAACUACGUGCCAGCAGCCGCGGUAAUACGGAGGAUGCGAGUGUUAUCCGGAUUCAUUGGGUUUAAAGGGUGCGCAGGCGGGCCUUUAAGCCGGCGGUGAAAUCGCGGGGCUCAACCCCGCCGAGCCGUCGGAACUGGGGGCCUUGAGUGCGGCGGAGGCAUGCGGAAUGCGCGGUGUAGCGGUGAAAUGCAUAGAUAUCGCGCAGAACCCCGAUUGCGAAGGCAGCGUGCCGUGCCGCCACUGACGCUGAGGCACGAAAGCGCGGGGAUCGAACAGGAUUAGAUACCCCAGUAGUC
rnacentral:rRNA from 1 species